UUUUUAAACGUUUUGUUGCGCAAUAAAAUAUUGCAAGCAAAAUUAAUUAUUUUGUAGGGUAGGUAAGAUGAGUAAAAAUUAGGAAAAAGAGAAAUGGUGCGUCCAAGUGGACUCGAACCACCGACCCCCACCA
rnacentral:antisense_RNA from 19 species